CAGCAGCCACGGGAACACGUAGGGUGCGAGCGUUAAUCGGAAUUACUGGGCGUAAAGCGUGCGUAGGCGGUUUGUUAAGUCUGCUGUGAAAUCCCCGGGCUCAACCUGGGAAUGGCAGUGGAUACUGGCAAGCUAGAGUGUGUCAGAGGAUGGUGGAAUUCCCGGUGUAGCGGUGAAAUGCGUAGAGAUCGGGAGGAACAUCAGUGGCGAAGGCGGCCAUCUGGGACAACACUGACGCUGAGGCACGAAAGCGUGGGGAGCAAACAGGAUUAGAUACCCGCGUAGUCCCUGUCUCUUAUAC
rnacentral:rRNA from 1 species